ensembl:lncRNA
UUUUGACUCUUGCAGCUAAGUGCUGGCUGGAAUACUGGGGCCUAAUUCCAGAGCUGACGUAAAUAAGCUCACUCAAAGACAGUGAGACAACACCAAUUUACACAAAACAUAGUUCAAGCCUGGGAAAUUCAGAUGCAUGCAGAAGUUUAGAUAAGAUACAUCUAGGCAAAUAUUUGAGGGAACAGAGUGGCAAGGAUGUGAGAAAGCACAGAGAAGCUCUGAGUCCAUCUGAUUUGUUCGACACCCACAAAUGAACCCCCACAGUGCCCAGCAGAGGAGGCUCCUCGGCUAUCGUCAUCUCUGGAAGGAGAAGGACAGAGGCAAAGAGUAUCAUGAAACAAGAGAGUUGGAAUACCGUGCUUUUUUCUUGGAAAAAAGAAGAAAGAAAGAAAGAAACAACCACAAAGUCCAGCUGAGCAAUGUGCCAUCACAUCUACCCCCAUGCAGAAGCGCUCGGGCAGCAUUUGCGCUGGAAGCUUUGCAGCUGUGCAAGUCAAAUGAACAGGCACUACUUUGCCCUCAGAUCUGGUAGGCCCCAAGGUACAGAUAUGAGCAGUCAAAAUGUCCUACUUAGCAUCAUGAAGUGCCCACCCAUGCGCGAGGGAAAAGGAUGCAAUGUUUUGAAUGAAGCCAAACAUGGUUAUUACAUUUUGGGGGCCUGAGAGAGAAAGUCACAUUGGUCUGUUUACAGAUAAAUGAUUUGCAAUAUUUCACAUAUAUUUGUUAUCACACUCAGCACCAGUGCAAAGAUUCCUCACUCACCAGCCUCGAUAGCACCUAGAACAAGGCUGCAGCUGCUGAAAUGAAUCCCUUAGUCUUCACUUAUGCAAUAAUUUCACAUCAAUAGUGGUGGUACAAGGAGAAUAAUAAUCAUUUUUAUAGAGAAAAACAUAACCGAAAUAGUAAAAAAGACAACAAAAAAGAAGUAAAAUAAAAAUGAUCCAUCCUUUCUUCUUUUGGUCUCCUGUGUUUAUCCCCAGAC